rnacentral:rRNA from 1 species
AGCGUACACGGUGGAUGCCCUGGCAGUCAGAGGCGAUGAAGGACGUGCUAAUCUGCGAAAAGCGUCGGUAAGGUGAUAUGAACCGUUAUAACCGGCGAUGUCCGAAUGGGGAAACCCAGUGCAAUUCGUUGCACUAUCGUUAACUGAAUACAUAGGUUAACGAGGCGAACCGGGGGAACUGAAACAUCUAAGUACCCCGAGGAAAAGAAAUCAACCGAGAUUCCCCCAGUAGCGGCGAGCGAACGGGGAGCAGCCCAGAGUCUGAAUCAGCUUGUGUGUUAGUGGAACGGUCUGGAAAGUCCGACGGUACAGGGUGAUAGUCCCGUACACCAAAAUGCACAGGCUGUGAACUCGAAGAGUAGGGCGGGACACGUGGUAUCCUGUCUGAAUAUGGGGGGACCAUCCUCCAAGGCUAAAUACUCCUGACUGACCGAUAGUGAACCAGUACCGUGAGGGAAAGGCGAAAAGAACCCCGGCGAGGGGAGUGAAAAAGAACCUGAAACCGUGUACGUACAAGCAGUGGGAGCACCUUCGGGUGUGACUGCGUACCUUUUGUAUAAUGGGUCAGCGACUUAUAUUCUGUAGCAAGGUUAACCGUAUAGGGGAGCCGCAGGGAAACCGAGUCUUAACUGGGCGUUAAGUUGCAGGGUAUAGACCCGAAACCCGGUGAUCUAGCCAUGGGCAGGUUGAAGGUUGGGUAACACUAACUGGAGGACCGAACCGACUAAUGUUGAAAAAUUAGCGGAUGACUUGUGGCUGGGGGUGAAAGGCCAAUCAAACCGGGAGAUAGCUGGUUCUCCCCGAAAGCUAUUUAGGUAGCGCCUCGUGAAUUCAUCUUCGGGGGUAGAGCACUGUUUCGGCUAGGGGGUCAUCCCGACUUACCAACCCGAUGCAAACUACGAAUACCGAAGAAUGUUAUCACGGGAGACACACGGCGGGUGCUAACGUCCGUCGUGAAGAGGGAAACAACCCAGACCGCCAGCUAAGGUCCCAAAGUCAUGGUUAAGUGGGAAACGAUGUGGGAAGGCACAGACAGCCAGGAUGUUGGCUUAGAAGCAGCCAUCAUUUAAAGAAAGCGUAAUAGCUCACUGGUCGAGUCGGCCUGCGCGGAAGAUGUAACGGGGCUAAACCAUGCACCGAAGCUGCGGCAGCGACACUAUGUGUUGUUGGGUAGGGGAGCGUUCUGUAAGCCUGCGAAGGUGACCUGUGAGGGUUGCUGGAGGUAUCAGAAGUGCGAAUGCUGACAUAAGUAACGAUAAAGCGGGUGAAAAGCCCGCUCGCCGGAAGACCAAGGGUUCCUGUCCAACGUUAAUCGGGGCAGGGUGAGUCGACCCCUAAGGCGAGGCCGAAAGGCGUAGUCGAUGGGAAACAGGUUAAUAUUCCUGUACUUGGUGUUACUGCGAAGGGGGGACGGAGAAGGCUAUGUUAGCCGGGCGACGGUUGUCCCGGUUUAAGCAUGUAGGCUGGUUGUCCAGGCAAAUCCGGAUAAUCAAGGCUGAGGUGUGAUGACGAGGCACUACGGUGCUGAAGUAACAAAUGCCCUGCUUCCAGGAAAAGCCUCUAAGCAUCAGGUAACAUCAAAUCGUACCCCAAACCGACACAGGUGGUCAGGUAGAGAAUACCAAGGCGCUUGAGAGAACUCGGGUGAAGGAACUAGGCAAAAUGGUGCCGUAACUUCGGGAGAAGGCACGCUGGUGUGUAGGUGAAGUCCCUGCGGAUGGAGCUGAGACCAGUCGAAGAUACCAGCUGGCUGCAACUGUUUAUUAAAAACACAGCACUGUGCAAACACGAAAGUGGACGUAUACGGUGUGACGCCUGCCCGGUGCCGGAAGGUUAAUUGAUGGGGUUAUCCGUAAGGAGAAGCUCUUGAUCGAAGCCCCGGUAAACGGCGGCCGUAACUAUAACGGUCCUAAGGUAGCGAAAUUCCUUGUCGGGUAAGUUCCGACCUGCACGAAUGGCGUAAUGAUGGCCAGGCUGUCUCCACCCGAGACUCAGUGAAAUUGAACUCGCUGUGAAGAUGCAGUGUACCCGCGGCAAGACGGAAAGACCCCGUGAACCUUUACUAUAGCUUGACACUGAACAUUGAGCCUUGAUGUGUAGGAUAGGUGGGAGGCUUUGAAGCGUGGACGCCAGUCUGCGUGGAGCCAACCUUGAAAUACCACCCUUUAAUGUUUGAUGUUCUAACGUUGGCCCCUUACCGGGGUUGCGGACAGUGUCUGGUGGGUAGUUUGACUGGGGCGGUCUCCUCCCAAAGCGUAACGGAGGAGCACGAAGGUUAGCUAAUCCUGGUCGGACAUCAGGAGGUUAGUGCAAUGGCAUAAGCUAGCUUGACUGCGAGCGUGACGGCGCGAGCAGGUGCGAAAGCAGGUCAUAGUGAUCCGGUGGUUCUGAAUGGAAGGGCCAUCGCUCAACGGAUAAAAGGUACUCCGGGGAUAACAGGCUGAUACCGCCCAAGAGUUCAUAUCGACGGCGGUGUUUGGCACCUCGAUGUCGGCUCAUCACAUCCUGGGGCUGAAGUAGGUCCCAAGGGUAUGGCUGUUCGCCAUUUAAAGUGGUACGCGAGCUGGGUUUAGAACGUCGUGAGACAGUUCGGUCCCUAUCUGCCGUGGGCGCUGGAGAAUUGAGGGGGGCUGCUCCUAGUACGAGAGGACCGGAGUGGACGCAUCACUGGUGUUCGGGUUGUCAUGCCAAUGGCACUGCCCGGUAGCUAAAUGCGGAAGAGAUAAGUGCUGAAAGCAUCUAAGCACGAAACUUGCCCCGAGAUGAGUUCU